GGACCGUAACUGACGCUGAGACACGAAAGCGUGGGUAGCAAACAGGAUUAGAUACCCUGGUAGUCCACGCCCUAAACGAUGCAUAUUUGGUGUGGGUCAUUCAGUUGAUCCGUGCCGGAGCUAACGCGUUAAAUAUGCCGCCUGGGGAGUACAGUCGCAAGGCUGAAACUCAAAGGAAUUGACGGGGGCCCGCACAAGCGGUGGAGCAUGUGGUUCAAUUCGACGCAACGCGAAGAACCUUACCUGGGCUCGAACGGCUGGUUACCGGCGGUGGAAACAUCGCUACCCCGCAAGGGGGUCCAGUCGAGGUGCUGCAUGGCUGUCGUCAGCUCGUGUCGUGAGAUGUUGGGUUAAGUCCCGCAACGAGCGCAACCCUUGUCCUGUGUUGCCAUCAUUCAGUUGGGAACUCGCAGGAGACCGCCAGCGAUAAGCUGGAGGAAGGUGGGGAUGACGUCAAGUCCUCAUGGCCUUUAUGUCCAGGGCUACACACGUGCUACAAUGGACGGUACAAAGCGCAGCAAACCCGCGAGGGGGAGCCAAUCGCAAAAAACCGUUCUCAGUUCGGAUUGCAGGCUGCAACUCGCCUGCAUGAAGCUGGAAUCGCUAGUAAUGGCAGAUCAGCACGCUGCCGUGAAUACGUUCCCGGGCCUUGUACACACCGCCCGUCACAUCACGAAAGUGGAUUGUACUAGAAGUCUGUACGCUGACCCGCAAGGGAGGCAGCGGCCCAAGGUAUGAUUCAUGAUUGGGGUGAAGUCGUAACAAGGUAGCCGUAGGAGAACCUGCGGCUGGAUCACCUCCUU
rnacentral:rRNA from 1 species